UACGAAGGGGGCUAGCGUUGCUCGGAAUCACUGGGCGUAAAGGGUGCGUAGGCGGUAAAUUAAGUCAGUGGUGAAAUCCAGCAGCUUAACUGUUGAAUUGCCAUUGAUACUGAAUUACUUGAGUGAAAACGAGGUAUGCGGAAUUUAUGGUGUAGCGGUGAAAUGCAUAGAUACCAUAAAGAACACCGAUAGCGAAGGCAGCAUACUAGUCUUUAACUGACGCUGAGGCACGAAAAGCAUGGGGGAUCAAACAGG
rnacentral:rRNA from 1 species